CGGACGCGUGGACAAUGCGGUGCGCUUCUUUAUCAUGGCCGACCCGAAAUGAGGGGUACGAGCGGGUGAAAGUCUGGCCUCUGCCACCGCUGUUGCUCUCUGAGGCCGAAGGGCAGGGGCCGUCGGCCAAAGGAGAGCAGAUGAGGUAGAGGUCUGUAGCACUUCUUACCGGCCGAGGUCUAGGCAUGUCCGACGUACCAGCUACACAGAGAUAAGGGAACGGAAGUGAGAGGACAGGAGGAGUAGGGGGAACUAACCCACAGACGGACUCGGCGUGUAUAUUGACAAAAUAUCAUUAUAUAUAUUUAUGGGAUGUGAAGUGAUAUAUAUGUAUACAAUGUCAGUUGAUUAUGUCAAGCUAAGUAACAUCCAUCACCUGAAACACUCAAUUUCUGUGGUGUUUCAUAGUGCUUUGUACCAUGAAAGUUAAAAGACACUAAGGAGAUAUUUUAAAAGUCCUUGCUGAGUUUUAUUCAGAACUUUCGAAGUACAUUCGGAGCCAUCAGAGGGAACUGCAUCUGGGAACAAAAUAAAGUGAUGCUACAUAGCCACCAGAUGGCGAUAUUGCAGAGGAAUUUGAGCAGCAGAGGAAAUGGCCAGCCCUAUUCCAGCUAAGAGCCCGCUUCUUUGGGAGACAUCUUAUGCUCUAAUUGGUGCUCAUUACCAGGCAGAAGAGAGAAAUGAUGCUGAGUAUUUUUCCAGUCCUUCAGAUACUGGGAUUCUAAUUCCCAUACUAUUGAUCUGGGAUUCUAAUUCCCAUACUAUUGAUCUGCUGUCUCCCCUGUUAUACCCUGAUGUGGAUGAAUUUAAAGAGGGCACAAGAUACAACUCCAGCGAGCACAUUCAUAUUCCAAGCAGCAAAAUUCUGGGUUGCAGGGGGAAGGAGAGGACGGAUAUUAGGUGACAGCUAGCAGUCUGCUGUAAGGGAAAUUCCAGGACUCUUGACAUUUGCAUAGAGGAUUGUAUGGAGGGAGGAUGGUAUCACUCCCAAUUGAAGUGGAGAAUACAGGAAACCUAUUAAACCUUUAUGUUUGUUUUCCUAGUCUUUGCCUUCACCUGGAAGCAAAAGCCUGUUUUGUUUUUAUUGUUGUUCAUUUGUAUUAUUAUUUUUUUGGUACUGCCCCUUUCCUUUCUAGCCAUGCAGUUCUAGUGUGGUCUUCUAAUAGGUACUCUGUCCUUCUGGCCAUCAUCAAUUUGGUUGAGGUAUGGCCAUGCGAUCCAGACUAGAACAAUCAGAAUCCUUCACUGUAAUUACUUUUUCUGACUUAAUUGAGGGAAAAUAUUGUAUCCCACUCUUGCGGCAUGACUGGAAGAUGUAUGGCAGGAAACUCUUGGUGGCCCUUUUUAUGGUCAGAGGGAGAAAGCUUGUCUAAAAGAAUGCCAAAGGCCAAAUAUUUUCUCCAAUAUUUUCUGAUUCAUAAUGCGGGGAAGAAUGGAGGAACUUUGGACAGAGUGGAGGGAGUGUGGGAGUGGGAAGGAUGGUGAAAUAAGAUGGACAUUAUUACCCUAUAUACACGUAUGAUGGCACGAACUGUGUGACUGCACCAUGUACAGCCAGAGGAAUGAGAAGUUGUGCUUCAUUUGUGUACCAUGUGUCAAAAUGCAUUCUACUGUCAUGUAUAACUAAUUUGAAAAAUUAAAAAAUAAAAGAAUGCAGUUUGUAAGAUUAGCAAAUGAAAGCUACAUAGUGAUGUUCAAGUCCCUAGUCUUGACUUUGAUGCCUGUCUACCUAUGAUUAUGUGAGGCAUCCACUAGAUUCCCUCUUUUGCCAAAGUUUAAGUUGCAUUUAUGUUACUUUCAGUCAUUGAAGCCUUGAUUAAAACUGUGUUGUAAAAUGUAGUUCUGGAAUCAAUGUAGAUGUGUUUUGGAUCUGUGUGUGUGUUGGGGGGGCAUAGUAAAUAGUAAGUAGAAGCAGGCAAACAAUUUGAGACUGUAUCAGUCAUGUACCUGAAGGCAAUGACAGUCUGAACAAAGGUACGUCAGAGGGGCAGGUUUGCCAUGACCUGUUUCUUCUAGACCUUGAACCACCUGCCCACACCUAUGGGCUGCUCAUUUGUACAUGGUUGCAGGGUAACUAGUCACUAUUCAUUAUGAGCAUUUUCCCGAUGUCCUUGGGCAUAGUUAUAAUAGUGCUUAAAAAUUCUUUUUUGUUGGCGUUGUGAUUGUAGAUCAGUGAUACAGCACUUGCCUCACACGUGUGAGGCACUGGGUUUGAUCCUUGGCGCCACAUAAAAAUGAAUAAAAUAAAAUAAAAAUAUCGUCUCCAUCUGCAACUAAAAAAUAUUCUUUUGAAACAUUCUUGUUUGUUAAUUCUGAAUAUGUUGAUCAUCUUAGGGUCACUUUUUAUUGAUUGCCUUUCUACUUCAGUAUGGGUAACAUUUUCCUGUUUCCUAUAUAUCCAGUCAUUUUGACUUGUCUCUUGAACAUUGUAGAAGACGUGAAUCUGGAUUUCAUUUUACCUCUAUGAAAAUAACUGCUUUUUUGUUUUUAUUUUAGCAGAUAAUUAAUAUAACUCAAAACUACAUA